GGACGAGUGAAAUCCUCCCCAUCCAUUGUUGUAAGCAUCAAAGCUCCGCCUGAAAAGGCUCUCUUAACAACAUAUGGACCCUCGUAGUUUGGAGUCCACUUGCCCCUGGAAUCGGGCGCGAAAGACAAAACUUUCUUGAGCACGAGGUCACCUUCUCGGAACACACGCGGCUUGACCUUCUUAUCGAAUGCUUUCUUCAUUCUCUGCUGAUAUAAUUGACCAUGACACAUGGCAGUUAACCGCUUCUCUUCAAUCAAAUUCAAUUGGUCAUAACGACUCUGAAUCCAUUCAGCAUCAGUCAACUAGGGACUUGAGGGUAUAAUUUUUCUUUUUUCUUUUGGAAAAAAUUUUGAAAAAAUAUUCCUGAUUUUUGAUUUUU
rnacentral:lncRNA from 1 species